rnacentral:lncRNA from 1 species
GGAAACCGAACGGUGGCGUUAAAUCCUCCACCGGCACCACCGCCGGCGCAAGCCGGACCAAGAUUGAGAUCUAACGGCGACGAAUCGAUCAUCAGAGCCGGCUCGCGGCUUGAAGACUCUAUGGUACUACUUUGGCUGGGGCUCUGGUUAUUAUUGUUGAUGUUGAUAUUGUUGUGACUAAUUUUGUUGGUUACAUUUUCAGAAGGCAAGGGGAAGUUAGUUUUAGCCUUGGCGCCGCGAAAUUCUCUAGCGGCAGCGUCGUAGGCCCGAGCGGCUUCUUCAGCGGUGUCGAAGGUUCCAAGCCAAACACGGCUCUUCUUGCCGGGAUC